AUUGAACGCUGGCGGCAUGCCUUACACAUGCAGGUCGAACGGUAACAGGUCUUCGGAUGCUGACGAGUGGCGAACGGGUGAGUAAUACAUCGGAUCGUGCCCGAUCGUGGGGGAUAACGAAGCGAAAGCUUUGCUAAUACCGCAUAAGAUCUAAGGAUGAAAGCAGGGGACCGCAAGGCCUUGCGCGAACGGAGCGGCCGAUGGCAGAUUAGGUAGUUGGUGGGAUAAAAGCUUACCAAGCCGACGAUCUGUAGCUGGUCUGAGAGGACGACCAGCCACACUGGGACUGAGACACGGCCCAGACUCCUACGGGAGGCAGCAGUGGGGAAUUUUGGACAAUGGGCGAAAGCCUAAUCCAGCCAUGCCGCGUGCAGGAUGAAGGCCUUCGGGUUGUAAACUGCUUUUGUACGGAACGAAAAGACUCUUUCUAAUAAAGAGGGUCCAUGACGGUACCGUAAGAAUAAGCACCGGCUAACUACGUGCCAGCAGCCGCAGUAA
rnacentral:rRNA from 1 species